GUUUCCGUAGUGUAGUGGUUAUCACGCCCGCUUCACAUGCGGAAGGUCCCCGGUUGGAGACCGGGCGGAAACA